rnacentral:rRNA from 1 species
GCAGCCGAAGCGAAAGCAAGUCUGAAUAGGGCGCUUAGUUAGUAGAGGUAGACGCGAAACCCGGUGAUCUACCCAUGGCCAGGUUGAAGCUCCGGUAACACGGGGUGGAGGACCGAACCCGUUGACGUUGAAAAGUCUUGGGAUGAGCUGUGGGUAGGGGUGAAAGGCCAAUCAAACUGAGAGAUAGCUCGUACUCCCCGAAAUGCUUUUAGGAGCAGCGUGUGGGUUUAGUUUAUUAGAGGUAGAGCUACCAAUUGGACUAGGGGGAGUCAAAUCCUACCAAAUCCAGAUGAACUCCGAAUGCUAAUAAAUAUACCACACAGUGAGGGCUUGGGUGCUAAGGUCCAAGUCCGAGAGGGAAAGAACCCAGACCUACAGCUAAGGUCCCAAAAUCUAUGCUAAGUUGAACUAAGGAGGUCCAGUUGCAGAGACAGCCAGGAGGUUGGCUUGGAAGCAGCCAUUCCUUCAAAGAGUGCGUAACAGCUCACUGGUCGAGCGACAGGGCAUCGAUAAUAAUCGGGCAUCAAAUACAAUACCGAAGCUUAGGAUCAUUUAUGAUGGUAGGGGAGCAUUCACUAAACAAUGAAGGUGUGACGUGAGUCAUGCUGGAGACUAGUGAAGAGCAAAUGUAGGCAUAAGUAACGAUAAGGCAGGCGAGAAACCUGCCCACCGAUAGACUAAGGAUUCCCCGGCAAUGCUAAUCAGCCGGGGGUUAGUCGGGACCUAAGGCAAACCCGAAAGGGGUAGUCGAUGGACAACUGGUUAAUAUUCCAGUACUACUUUUAUUUUCGAUGGGGUGACGGAGUAGUGAAAGCACCGCGUACUGACGGAAUAGUACGUUGAAGGGUGUAGGUAUAGGCGAUGUAGGUAAAUCCGCAUUGCUUGCUGAACCUGAUAGUACCACAAAUCUUCGGAUGCGUGGAUAGUGUGCCUAAUCAGACUUCCAAGAAAAACCUCUAAGAUUAGAAUAAAAGUACCCGUACCGUAAACCGACACAGGUAGUCAAGGAGAGAAUCCUAAGGUGCUCGAGUGAUUCAUGGCUAAGGAACUAGGCAAAAUAGCCUCGUAACUUCGGAAGAAGAGGCGCCCCGAGUAAUCGGGGCCGCAGUGAAAAGGCCCAGGCGACUGUUUAUCAAAAACAUAGGGCUUUGCUAAAUCGAAAGAUGAUGUAUAAGGCCUGACACCUGCCCGGUGCUGGAAGGUUAAGAGG